GAUGAACGCUGGCGGCGUGCCUAAUACAUGCAAGUCGAGCGAACGGACGAGAAGCUUGCUUCUCUGAUGUUAGCGGCUGACGGGUGAGUAACACGUGGAUAACCUACCUAUAAGACUGGGAUAACUUCGGGAAACCGGAGCUAAUACCGGAUAAUAUUUUGAACCGCAUGGUUCAAAAGUGAAAGACGGUCUUGCUGUCACUUAUAGAUGGAUCCGCGCUGCAUUAGCUAGUUGGUAAGGUAACGGCUUACCAAGGCAACGAUGCAUAGCCGACCUGAGAGGGUGAUCGGCCACACUGGAACUGAGACACGGUCCAGACUCCUACGGGAGGCAGCAGUAGGGAAUCUUCCGCAAUGGGCGCAAGCCUGACGGAGCCACGCCGCGUGAGUGAUGAAGGUCUUCGGAUCGUAAAACUCUGUUAUUAGGGAAGAACAUCUGUGUAAGAAACCGUGCACAUCUUGACGGUACCUAAUCAGAAAGCCACGGCUAACUACGUG
rnacentral:rRNA from 1 species